CCUUCUGGGGCACGAGUCCAUAUAUAUAUAUACACAUAAGAGCCCAGCGAAGGCAGGGCUGCUGCCGCACGGUGGACGUGGCAGGCGGCACUUCCGGCUGGGCUACCGCGGCUGCGGAGGGACAUCCUUCAAGAACAGGCGCCGGUCCCGGCGUCCGCCGCGCAGUUAGGAAACUGACUGUCGCUCUCUCCGGCCUCGGCGCUGCUUUCAAAACAAGGAAACAAGGCAGGAGAGAGUCCAUGAAAUUGGGGGGAGUCCAAAGAGGGAGUGUUUCUGUCCUUGGAACUCACCUUUUCUUCUCUCCAUUUCUCCUCUUCUCCUUCCCAUCUAGUGCAGCAUCUUCACUCCGAAGCAGAAAUUUGCCAAAAAAGCAUCCUCUUUUUAUCAGAAAAUAAAAUAUCCUGGUUUCUUAGCCUGGCAAUUGAGCUAAUCAGUGGAAUCAAGGGAAACUUUUUUGUUUGAGAUGGAGUCUCCCUCUGUCACCCAGGCUGGAGUGCAGUGGCACAGUCUUGGCUUACUGCAACCUCCACCUCCCGGGUUCAAGUGAUUCACCUGCCUCACCUUCCGGAGUAGCUGGGGUUACAAGCAUUCCUGAGACCACAGGCGUGUGCCACCAUGGCUAGCUAAUUUUUGUAUUUUAUUUUUGUAGAGACAGGGUUUUGCCAUGCUGCCUAGGCUGGUCUCAAACUCCUGGGCUCAAGUGAUCCACCCACCUGGCAAACGUCUAUGAAUUCCAUCAGAGGGCCUUACUGUGAAUGUAGGUUCUGUCCAGGAAGCUGUCCAGGAAGCUGUGAGAUCUUGGGCAAGUUACAUAUCUCUCUGUCUUUCAGUUUCUUGCGGUGGCUCACGCCUGUAAUCCCAGCACUUUGGGAGGCCGAGGCGGGCGGAUCACGAGGUCAAGAGAUCAAGACCAUCCUGGCCAACAUGGUGAAACCCCAUGUCUACUAAAAAUACAAAAAUGAGCCAGGUGUGGUGAUAUGUCCUUCACUUUGACAGUUACUACUGUUAGUACUUGAGACCGUCAUUAUGACAGUUGCUGUUACUACUUGAGACCAUCACUACAACAGUUACUAUUGUUACUACUUGAGACCAUCAUUAUGACAGUUACUACUGUUACUACUUGAGACCGUCAUUAUAACAGUUGUUGCCAUUACUCUUUAACACCCUCAUUACAAGACUGAAUGAAGGGAUGAACAUAGACAAUGAAAACUUAAAGCAAAAAGGAAGGGUCCAGGGGAAGAAGAAGAGAGCUCCCUGCUUCUAGUGAGCAAAGGCAGCCCUUGAGCUUCCACAGCCCUUCGUAUUUGUUGGGUAGCAAGAGCAGGGAGGAGGAGGUAAUGAUGGGUUGGCUGCUUAACUGAUAACAGGUUCAUAAUAUUAUUAACAGGCUUCAGAUGUACCUAAUCCCAAGAAACACUGUGCUUGGGGCAUGACUGCCCUCAGCAUUCCUUCUGGGUGGCAGAUGCAGU
rnacentral:lncRNA from 1 species